rnacentral:rRNA from 1 species
UACGGGGGGGGCAAGCGUUGUUCGGAAUUUACUGGGCGUAAAGAGCUCGUAGGUGGUUUUUGUCGCGUUUGUUCGUGAAAACUCACAGCUCAACUGUGGGCGUGCGGGCGAUACGGGCAGACUAGAGUACUGCAGGGGAGACUGGAAUUCCUGGUGUAGCGGUGAAAUGCGCAGAUAUCAGGAGGAACACCGAUGGCGAAGGCAGGUCUCUGGGCAUUAACUGACGCUGAGGAGCGAAAGCAUGGGGGAGCGAACAGG